rnacentral:rRNA from 1 species
UACGUAGGGUGCGAGCGUUAAUCGGAAUUACUGGGCGUAAAGUGUGCGCAGGCGGCCGCGCAAGUCGAGUGUGAAAUCCCCGAGCUUAACUUGGGAAUUGCGCUCGAAACUACGUGGCUGGAGUGUGGCAGAGGAAGGUGGAAUUCCACGUGUAGCGGUGAAAUGCGUAGAGAUGUGGAGGAACACCGAUGGCGAAGGCAGCCUUCUGGGCCAACACUGACGCUCGAUGCACGAAAGCGUGGGGAGCAAACAGGA